UUUUAAGAAAAAAUGUGACUAAGAAAAUGUAUUUCAAAAGAACAGAGUAAAAUAUGUUCAGUUUUAUUUUAUUACUAGAAGUUGUUGCUUAGUAGCUGGCGGCUAUGCUGUGCAUGGAACAGCCUUUUUGGUUGGGAAAAGUUAUAUUUUGAAAUAGAGCUCAUCUCAGUUAUUUGUCAAGUAAAGGUCUUUCUGAUAGAUAAAAAUGACCUGCAUGAACCUGUAGGUUUAUUAUAAAAUGCUGCUUUUUGGUUAAGCUUAGUUAAUUACAAACGCUUCAAUGUUUCUCUUUCUCUCCUCGGACCCAAACACAUUUGCACACAUGCAGGUGAUUGAUGCGCACAACAUUACAUUUCCAGGAUUUUCAUGACCGUGUGCUGACCAACAAUUAGCUAUAACUGGGCUAAUAACUCAUUAACCAGCAAGGAAUAUCAACAAAUGUCCACAUGUGGCUACAGAUAGAUCUGCUCAAAAGCAUAUUCUUAUUCAAAUAAUUUUUUUAAUAUUGUGAUUAUUAUUUUUACAUUUAUUUUUUAACAUAGAUUCAUCUUUUGCUUGUCUGACACUUCUUUUUUUUACUUGCCCCGGACAAUCUGAAAGUCAAGCCUUACUAUUGUCAAUAGGAAUCAUUCGACCCAAAGUUGGCCGUUUUUAGUUUGUCUCAGAAUCAGCACAAAAAGGAGUGUUAUUAAGGAUCACCUUGGGCUAGAUCUUCGUGUGUUAAGCCAGUUAUGACCAAUCCUGUUGCUACCACCUAGUGACUCAGUCACACAUAACAUCUGCAGGUUUUAGUGCCUCAUUACUGAUGACAUCAUUUCAGUGGAAUAGUCAGCUCAUGAGUGUCAUACUAAAUGGGCUGUCCCAUCCAAGUCCUCCAAGACUACUUUGUUAAAGGUUACUCGUACAUUAGUCUCAAAACAUCUGUUACAACCAUAUUCUGCCUUUAAUGGAACCUCUGAACACCAUUUUCCUCUGUUCUGAUGAUGUUAACAGUAUAAUGAGAGCUUGGUAAUGUGUUUGAAGUUAGCUCCUGUGAGAACUAAAAUCAUAACUGGCCUCAAAAAACCACAGUGAGACUGGUGAUCUAAAGUCAAUGGCAAAAAACAUGUUAUGUAUCGGUUCAAAAUAAGACCUCUAUAAUAUUUUGAUGUAAUGUUUUACUGGGUAUUGGGAUUGGUAUAAAUGAGUAGAGAGUGUGGGCUCUGAUUGUGUGAUAUGAACAUUACAUGUCAUUUGGAACAUACUAGUGAUCAUUUUGUAUUUCACAGUGUAGAAGUUGUUUUCCUAGUAAAAACUUUAACUUGUGCAUCAUGAGUUGAGUUGAAUGUUGAAUACAUUUCCUCAUCUUAGGGUUUUCUGACCUCUUCUAAACAUUUUGGGCGGUCAAUAAUGGGAAAGCAUUUGAUCUUGCUAAAAAAGCAGAAGUAUCAAAUGUGCACGAGUCUGUGAGUGUUGUAGUUCCCACUUGUGUGCCUAACAUUUGGUUGCCCAAUACUGUAUAUAGGAGGAGGGGUUAUGCGUUGUGUUUUUACAGAUGUUGCUCCUUCCUGAGGAUGGUAAAAAACAAGCUCAUUUGACAGUCAAGUGUUACAUAUGCAUAUGACCAUACAAAAUAAUAUAUACCAUACUAUACAACAAAUAUGAGAGAGUGAGAAAAAAACUAAAAAACACUGCAACAGUUAUAGAACCUACUCAUGUGAACCAAGAUGAGUAUCCUCUUCUGUAAUUGUAUAAAUUUCCCUGUAGUGUUUCUCAGAAAAAUACAACUUUGCAUCACAAAAGUUCCUCUUCUGUGAAGUUUUAAACAACCCUGAACGUAUUCAACCCCAGUGUAAAGUGCUUUUCUUCACUGCUUAUGGGAUCCAUAUGCAAGUGACAGAUAUUUGUAUUUUUUGGCAGUGCUCAGUGAAUGACGUGACAGGCGUGGUAAUAACAAUGAGAACACAAUUCAUUCCAGAUCUUUACAGACUUUGCACCCCGAAGUUGGCUAAGGGAAAAUCAAAAAGGGUGCGGUCAUGGUAUUUUAGUUCUGCUGGUUCAAAUAUACAUAUUGUGAAUGAUCAUUGACAUUUUUCGCUUUACUACAAUAAACGAAAGUAAAAUGUUCUAUCAUUCUAAAGUUCCCUGCCUGUCCGGACGGCUGUGCUCCGCGCGCAGUACUCAGAAUGUGGGUACAGUACAUAGGAAAUGACUCAUAGGAGUUGAACUGUUAGCGUGGGUGUGUACUCUAUUAAAACAAGGCUCAGACUACUCCGGGUGACUCAUUGUGAGGCUAGCUUUUCCAUGGUGAAAAACAAAACAGGCUUUUCAUCAGAUGAACUUUCGGGAAUUUCGUUUAUACAAGAACCAUGGCUUCAAACAUUAUCUGUGCGCUUUGUGGACUUGUCAUUGCGACUGUAGCGAACCUAAACGGCGUGAACGGGCAACAAAACCUAUGCAGUAGUUCAGAGUUCUGGAGUUCAGACAUAGACCAAUGCGUAUCCUGCUCAUCAUGCAAGCAGUAUCCAAAGACCCCUUCCUGUAACACUUGCACAUUCACCAAGGAAAGAUCUGAUGUCUGGAGACUGGCAGCCAUUUCCAGCUUCUCUGUGCUGGCAGUUAUUCUGGUCGCUGCAGUAUUGAUCAUUGGAGUCAUGGUGCAUCGACGCAAGGCACAGAAGAGGCCCCUUCGUGAACCCAUUGAAGAGACAACGGGACCUCUUUACCAAGCGUAAACAUUUCACCUCAUCUUCCUUCUGACAUUGAUGUGACAGAACCAAGGGAACAUCUUUGGAUGACCAACCGAAACAGAAUCAUUUUGAUACAAUACCCUGACCACAGGGUAUUAUUUGAGUGGAGUUUGACCAUUUAAUUUAUUAUACUGUUAGUAAAGAUGUGUUCACAUACACUCAGUGUGUUACGGAACGGAGCUCUCACAUAGAACUGUGUUAACUAGCGCUGUCAAUCCCCUAUCUUGUCUGCAGUCAGACUGUACUCUGAGGAAGACAAUGUAGUUAGUAAAGAGUAUCUCUCACAGCUCUUUUUGAAAUGAUGGCCUUUGAGUAGUGAUGCCAGGUUGAGCUUUUGUAGAUGUUCCAAUAAUCUAUCGAUAAGUAAGUUGUUCAAUCAAUAAGUAGUUUAAAAAACAGUACUGAACAUGAGACACAUCUUGAAUGAUGUGGAUUUCUAACCAUUACUGUCAAUGCUUGAACACCUAUUGUUUUAUUGUAGCUUAUUAGGACGAAUACCAACUACCGAACUGCCUCGACUUGCCAUCAGCAGGAUAAAAGUGAAUACAGCACAAUCGUGCUUCCUGGGCCAGGUUUCACAUACUGUACUUCUAUAAGAGUAAAAGGUUUCUAUUUAACGUCCUCAUGGUAAUGAAAAGUAAAAGGGAAAUGUUAGAUUAUAAAUUCAUGUUGGGCACAUUUUGGCAAUUUGAAUGUACUUUUAGGGCAAUUUAUCCAGUCUGUGUUUCCAUGUAGGAACUAUAUGCACUUAGAGCUACUUAGAGCUUGUUGUUUUUAACUCAUCAUUUUUAAAGGAGUAGAAUUCUUUUAACAGUAUUGUGCACUGUACUCUCUAGGAUCUUCCAAUCAAAAGAGGCAAAGGGGAAAAUAAGUUAACUGAUUAUGAAACUGCUCAAGCGUAUUGGACAUUCUUACACAGGUCAUUUAACCAUCAUACUGUAAUAUGUGUGUAUGCAGGAUAAGUAGCAUAACACAGGGGCUUGCAAACUGUCGUGAUGGAAAAGUUCAAGGUGGUCCAGAAUUCCGUGGGAAUGUGUUUGUAUAGGUCAGGGAUGGGCAACUUAGAUGGGGGUGGGGGCCACAAAAUAUCUGAAAACAUCAUGAGGGGCCGCAGUUGUGCCACCGCCCAAUUCUACACAUUUUGCAAUAUGGUGGAGAGAAUUGUUUGCAGUUUUAAUUAUGAUAUCUUACUGAGACUGACUAACAAAAUCAACGGGGGCCCCCCGGGUGGUAAUUUGACCACGAUUACUACAAGUUUAGAUAGCUGGGUGCUAGACUAAUUUACCAAUCUAUAAAAGGUUAGCUGACAUGGGCUAAUUGA